UACGAAGGGGGCUAGCGUUGCUCGGAUUGACUGGGCGUAAAGGGCGCGUAGGCGGUUCGUACAGUCAGGCGUGAAAUUCCUGGGCUCAACCUGGGGGCUGCGUUUGAUACGUGCGGACUUGAGUGCGGAAGAGGGUCGUGGAAUUCCCAGUGUAGAGGUGAAAUUCGUAGAUAUUGGGAAGAACACCGGUGGCGAAGGCGGCGACCUGGUCCGAUACUGACGCUGAGGCGCGAAAGCGCGGGGAGCAAACAGG
rnacentral:rRNA from 1 species